CGCAUCCAUCUCCUCUUUGGUCUCAGCUUUUCCGUUGGUAAAAGCUCUCCAUCACCCAUCCCAGCUGUCACCAGAGUAAGCUGAGUCUGCAGACCUGUGAAGGCAGCAGAUGGGCUCCCUGUUAAGCCACCCCAAUGAGACUUCAUGGCUUCU